CAAGGACGCUGGCUUGUAUUUCUCACGGACAACACACUGCCCUCCUUCUGGAGGUUGACAGCUGCUCGUAAGUUCUCAGCAAGAAAUUACUGACUGAAAGAGAUGAAGAAGUAUUUGCUCAGGGAAGGCAGUUUCAAAUUAACUCUUGGAACUGGAAAUGAAGUUGCGUGACAAAUGAAAUACAUAGAUGACUAAAAGGAUUUUAUAAAAACGCGACUGUAACAGAGAAAGGAAAACAGCCUUCGUGUAACCUUUGUUUACGGACUAGACUACAUAGGCACUGACCAAUGAGUCUUGCAAUCUCGAAUUGACCCUCUCUUCCUUUAACAGUUUCUAAAGAC
rnacentral:lncRNA from 1 species